UCUGGCUGGUCUUCGAAACCUUGGGAACACGUGCUUCAUGAACUCAAUUCUGCAGUGCCUGAGCAACACUCGGGAGUUGAGAGAUUACUGCCUCCAGAGGCUCUACAUGCGGGACCUGCACCACGGCAGCAAUGCACACACAGCCCUCGUGGAAGAGUUUGCAAAACUAAUUCAGACUAUAUGGACUUCAUCCCCCAAUGAUGUGGUGAGCCCAUCUGAGUUCAAGACCCAGAUCCAGAGAUACGCACCGCGCUUUGUUGGCUAUAAGUAAGGGCCUUGCAGACAUGUCCUCUCAGGUGGGUGGCAGUAGGAGCAGGUUCUUAGGACAAGAGGUGUUGCUCACCCUCCUUCCUUUGGGUUCAGUCAGCAGGAUGCUCAGGAGUUCCUUCGCUUUCUUCUGGAUGGGCUCCAUAACGAGGUGAACCGAGUGACACUGAGACCUAAGUCCAACCCUGAGAACCUCGAUCAUCUUCCUGAUGACGAGAAAGGCCGACAGAUGUGGAGAAAAUAUCUAGAACGGGAAGACAGUAGGAUCGGGGAUCUCUUUGUUGGGCAGCUAAAGAGCUCGCUGACGUGUACAGAUUGUGGUUACUGUUCUACGGUCUUCGACCCCUUCUGGGACCUCUCACUGCCCAUUGCUAAGCGAGGUUAUCCUGAGGUGACAUUAAUG
rnacentral:sRNA from 1 species